rnacentral:rRNA from 1 species
AACGAACGCUGGCGGCGUGGAUUAGGCAUGCAAGUCUAACGGAGUCAGGGGAAUUGGCAACAAGACCCCGAAACUUAGUGGCGAAAGGGUGAGUAACACGUGGGCAAUCUGCCCUAAACCUGGGGAUAACUGGCUGAAAGGCCUGUUAAUACCGAAUGUGGUCACCGAAAGGCAUCUUUUGGUGAUUAAAGGUGGGGACCUUCGGGCCUACCGGUUUAGGAUGAGCCCGCGGCCUAUUAGCUUGUUGGUAAGGUAGCGGCUUACCAAGGCGAUGAUGGGUAGCCGGACUGAGAGGUUGACCGGCCACACUGGGACUGAGACACUGCCCAGACUCCUACGGGAGGCUGCAGUCGAGAAUCUUUCGCAAUGGGCGCAAGCCUGACGAAGCGACGCCGCGUGGGCGAUGAAGGCCUUCGGGUUGUAAAGCCCUGUCACGAGGGAUGAAAUGCACAGAUGCUAAUAUCGUCUGUGUUUGACAGUACCUCGAGAG